CAGAGAUGCGUGCCUAAUUCUACGUUAAAAUUGCUCAAAUCGUCGGUAAAGUAAUCACAGGCGUCGAAGGCUAAUUCCGGGGAUGUGUUGUGUCGUUUGAGUUUCCUCGACAUUGUUAUGAACUCCACAUGUCACCACAUUUACCCCCUCCGAACAGCUGUUGGUCGCACUAAGGGUGGCUCGGAGAAAAUCAAUAAGACUGCAAACCGUAACAAGGACGCAACAGUGUAACAAAAUCUACGCCCCAAUCAAUUGAAUCUUUGCGGUUGUUGUAAACCGGAUUGGAAAAUAAACUCUCCUAUUACUUACGAUUACAGAAUGAAUAGUGUCGCCCGCUAAUUUCCUGUGUUGAACCAGCCCGUGAAAUUGAACUUCCUAUGUAUUAAUAAAAUGAUUAAAAUUGUCAAGAUUAA